GUGUCGGUUCGCUCGCGUCGGCCCUUGAAAAUCCAAGUGAGGGAGUGUGAUUUGCGUGCCGGACCGUACCACAUCCGCAGCAGGUCUACAAGGUGAACAACCUCUAGUCGAUGGACCAGUGUAGGUAAGGGAAGACGGCAAAACGGAUCCGUAACCUUGGGAUAAGGAUUGGCUCUGAGGACUGAGCCGGUCGGACUGGGGACCUGAAGCAGGAACGGCACUGCACCGGGACUGGGCGGGCCUCACCGUUCACGCGGCGCGGCGAAGCCAGGACCAGCGUCGGGACCUUCCUGUGGAAAGCCUCAGCUGCGCGGCGUCUGAGGGUUUUGUCCCGAAGUGCUUGCUUCGGCCUGCAAAAAACAGUCAACUCAGAACUAGCACGGGCCGAGGGAAUCCGACUGCCUAAUGAAAACAAAGCAUUGCGAUGGCCGCUGGUCGGUGUUGACGCAAUGUGAUCUCUGAUCAGUGCUCUGAAUGUCAAAGUGAAGAGAUUCAUCAAAGCGCAGGUAAACGGCGGGAGGAACUAUGACUCUGUAUGCUAUGCUAUCUUCUACUGCUGAUAUCGCCUACCCUUGUACCGGUCGGCCUUCUGCACUCAAGAGACGUUGAGGCUUUUCCAAGCUUCUUGCAAGUUCUUCCUCUAGAGCUCGCGAACAUCUGCGAACUGCGU
rnacentral:ncRNA from 1 species